UACAGAGGGUGCAAGCGUUAAUCGGAGUUACUGGGCGUAAAGCGUGCGCAGGCGGUGAUGUAAGACAGAUGUGAAAUCCCCGGGCUCAACCUGGGAACUGCAUUUGUGACUGCAUCGCUGGAGUGCGGCAGAGGGGGAUGGAAUUCCGCGUGUAGCAGUGAAAUGCGUAGAUAUGCGGAGGAACACCGAUGGCGAAGGCAAUCCCCUGGGCCUGCACUGACGCUCAUGCACGAAAGCGUGGGGAGCAAACAGG
rnacentral:rRNA from 1 species